UACAGAGGUGGCAAGCGUUGUUCGGAAUUACUGGGCGUAAAGGGCGCGUAGGCGGCCUUCUAAGUCAGACGUGAAAUCCCCCGGCUUAACCUGGGAACUGCGUCUGAUACUGGAAGGCUUGAGUGCGGGAGAGGGAUGUGGAAUUCCAGGUGUAGCGGUGAAAUGCGUAGAUAUCUGGAGGAACACCGGUGGCGAAGGCGGCAUCCUGGACCAACACUGACGCUGAGGAGCGAAAGCUAGGGGAGCAAACGGG
rnacentral:rRNA from 1 species